rnacentral:rRNA from 1 species
AUGAACGCUAGCUACAGGCUUAACACAUGCAAGUCGAGGGGAAACGAUAUUGGAAGCUUGCUUCCGAUAGGCGUCGACCGGCGCACGGGUGAGUAACGCGUAUCCAACCUGCCCACCACUUGGGGAUAACCUUGCGAAAGUAAGACUAAUACCCAAUGAUAUCUCUAGAAGACAUCUGAAAGAGAUUAAAGAUUUAUCGGUGAUGGAUGGGGAUGCGUCUGAUUAGCUUGUUGGCGGGGUAACGGCCCACCAAGGCAACGAUCAGUAGGGGUUCUGAGAGGAAGGUCCCCCACAUUGGAACUGAGACACGGUCCAAACUCCUACGGGAGGCAGCAGUGAGGAAUAUUGGUCAAUGGACGAGAGUCUGAACCAGCCAAGUAGCGUGCAGGAAGACGGCCCUAUGGGUUGUAAACUGCUUUUAUAAGGGAAUAAAGUGAGAGUCGUGACUCUUUUUGCAUGUACCUUAUGAAUAAGGACCGGCUAAUUCCGUGCCAGCAGCCGCGGUAAUACGGAAGGUCCGGGCGUUAUCCGGAUUUAUUGGGUUUAAAGGGAGCGUAGGCCGGAGAUUAAGCGUGUUGUGAAAUGUAGACGCUCAACGUCUGCACUGCAGCGCGAACUGGUUUCCUUGAGUACGCACAAAGUGGGCGGAAUUCGUGGUGUAGCGGUGAAAUGCUUAGAUAUCACGAAGAACUCCGAUUGCGAAGGCAGCUCACUGGAGCGCAACUGACGCUGAAGCUCGAAAGUGCGGGUAUCGAACAGGAUUAGAUACCCUGGUAGUCCGCACGGUAAACGAUGGAUGCCCGCUGUUGGUCUGAAUAGGUCAGCGGCCAAGCGAAAGCAUUAAGCAUCCCACCUGGGGAGUACGCCGGCAACGGUGAAACUCAAAGGAAUUGACGGGGGCCCGCACAAGCGGUGGAGUAUGUGGUUUAAUUCGACGCAACGCGAAGAACCUUACCAAGUCUUGACAUCCCUCUGACCGUUCCUUAACCGGAACUUUCCUUCGGGACAGGGGAGACAGGUGGUGCAUGGUUGUCGUCAGCUCGUGUCGUGAGAUGUUGGGUUAAGUCCCGCAACGAGCGCAACCCUUGUCAUUAGUUGCCAUCAGGUUAAGCUGGGCACUCUGGGGACACUGCCACCGUAAGGUGUGAGGAAGGUGGGGAUGACGUCAAAUCAGCACGGCCCUUACGUCCGGGGCUACACACGUGUUACAAUGGCAGGUACAGAGAGACGGUCCCUUGCAAAAUGGAUCAAAUCCUUAAAGCCUGUCUCAGUUCGGACUGGGGUCUGCAACCCGACCCCACGAAGCUGGAUUCGCUAGUAAUCGCGCAUCAGCCAUGGCGCGGUGAAUACGUUCCCGGGCCUUGUACACACCGCCCGUCAAGCCAUGAAAGCCGGGGGCGCCUAAAGUCCGUGACCGUAAGGAGCGGCCUAGGGCGAAACUGGUAAUUGGGGCU